rnacentral:rRNA from 1 species
GACGAACGCUGGCGGCGUGCCUAAUACAUGCAAGUCGAACGAGAGCGACCGGUGCUUGCCCUGGUCAAUCUAGUGGCGAACGGGUGAGUAACACGUGGGUAACCUGCCCAUCAGAGGGGGAUAACAUCCGGAAACGGAUGCUAAAACCGCAUAGGUCUUCGAACCGCAUGGUUUGAAGAGGAAAAGAGGCGCAAGCUUCUGCUGAUGGAUGGACCCGCGGUGCAUUAGCUAGUUGGUGAGGUAACGGCUCACCAAGGCCGUGAUGCAUAGCCGACCUGAGAGGGUGAUCGGCCACAUUGGGACUGAGACACGGCCCAGACUCCUACGGGAGGCAGCAGUAGGGAAUCUUCCGCAAUGGACGCAAGUCUGACGGAGCAACGCCGCGUGAGUGAAGAAGGUUUUCGGAUCGUAAAACUCUGUUGUUAGAGAAGAACAAGUGCUAGAGUAACUGUUAGCGCCUUGACGGUAUCUAACCAGAAAGCCACGGCUAACUACGUG